rnacentral:rRNA from 1 species
AGUGGCGGACGGGUGAGUAACGCGUGAGAAUCUGCCUUCAGAUCGGGGACAACAGAGGGAAACUUCUGCUAAUCCCGGAUGAGCCUUAGGGUAAAAAAUUUAUUGCCUGGAGAUGAGCUCGCGUCUGAUUAGCUAGUUGGUAAGGUAAAAGCUUACCAAGGCAACGAUCAGUAGCUGGUCUGAGAGGAUGAGCAGCCACACUGGGACUGAGACACGGCCCAGACUCCUACGGGAGGCAGCAGUGGGGAAUUUUCCGCAAUGGGCGAAAGCCUGACGGAGCAAGACCGCGUGGGGGAGGAAGGCUCUAGGGUUGUAAACCCCUUUUCUUUGGGAAGAACAAAAUGACGGUACCAAAGGAAUCAGCCUCGGCUAACUCCGUGCCAGCAGCCGCGGUAAUACGGAGGAGGCAAGCGUUAUCCGGAAUGAUUGGGCGUAAAGCGUCCGCAGGUGGCAAUGUAAGUCUGCUGUCAAAACCCAGGGCUCAACUCUGGUCAGGCAGUGGAAACUACAUAGCUAGAGUUCGGUAGGGGCAAAGGGAAUUCCCGGUGUAGCGGUGAAAUGCGUAGAGAUCGGGAAGAACAUCGGUGGCGAAAGCGCUUUGCUAGACCGAAACUGACACUCAGGGACGAAAGCUAGGGGAGCGAAUGGGAUUAGAUACCCC